rnacentral:rRNA from 1 species
GACGAGGGGUCCAAGCGUUGUUCGGAAUCCUUGGGCGUAAAGCGGGUGUAGGUGGCUCUAUAAGUCAGAAGUGAAAGCCCCCGGGCUUAACCCGGGGAAGUGCUUUUGAUACUGCAGAGCUUGAAUGUGGGAGAGGGUAGUGGAAUUCCAGGUGUAGUGGUGAAAUACGUAGAUAUCUGGAGGAACACCGGUGGCGAAGGCGGCUACCUGGCCCAACAUUGACACUGAGACCCGAAAGCGUGGGGAUCGAAACAGG